CCUCCCAAAAUCCCCAUUCCCUCGUCUUAAUUUAGGAAAAAAUAGUGGAAAAAGAUAACCCUAGCCAACCCCUCUUUCAUUCUUGCUCCCUGGCCCAUUCGUUGUGCAAAACCUUCAUUGUCUUGCUUCAACCAUCUCAGUGUACCGUCACCUUCGCCGUCGCUACUCCAUCUUCUCAAACGCAGAACCAUAAAACACCCCUGCUAACACCCAUUGCUUCCCAUUUCCAAUCUCACUCCCAGAAGGGGGAAGAUCUGCUUUCACUUUCGCGCCAUCAAUACCAAAUCGAACCUGGGCCUCUUGAAAAAGUGCUCUUGGCUGAAGAUGCAGAUUUGAAGCCAUUUAAGUCAUAUAAAAAGAGUGUAAAGAAGCUCAAAAAGAUUGGCGAUAUUCUAACAAUUGUUGUCGUUGCAGAUUAGAGGCAAAGAGUACUUGUUUUUUAGGACACUUUUGUGGUCACAGGCAUAUUGCUCAAGACCCGUCAAGUUUGCUCUCUAGAGCUUUGAACAAAAUCUUGUACCAAAGGCCCCCUGCUAAUGUUUUGACAUUCAACGAGAUUGUUUUGCUGUGGGAGAACAAGAUUGGCAAGAACCUUGAGAAAAUAUAUAUCCCUGAGUAUCAAAUUCUUAAGAACAUAAGGACUCAAGCAGAUUGAAGAGGAAGUGAUUGAAUUUAUCUAUUGGUCUUUUCUUGUUCAAGUAGUGUUCCAAAUUGAGAAAACCGGUUGGAAAAGAAAUCCAGUGUCUGUGUGCAAAGUGUGGAAACACUUACUGGCGUGAACGAGAUGAAGUAUAUGAGCAUCUCAUUUGCUAUGGGUUUGUCGAAGGUUAUAAAAGAUAGAUCAAUCAUGGAGAACUAAUAAUCCCAAUAGUUGUAGGACAUGACAUGGAUGAUCGAGGUGGCCUUGAUGAUAUUGACGGGUUGCUGCGUCAUGCAUUCGGAGAUAUGACAAAUCUUGAAGAGGGAAACAACGGAAUGAAUGAAGAUGCGAAGAGAUUUUAUAAGUUGGUCGAUGAAGCAGGUCAAGAAUUAUAUUCGAAUUGUACUACUGGAUUUUCAAGAUUAUCGUUUAUCAUUCGUCUCUACCACUUGAAGUGUCUACAUGGCUGGAGUAAUAUAUCUUUUACCUCCCCUAUUGGAGUUAUUGAAAGAAGCUAUACCUGAUUUGAACAUUCCCACUUCUUUUAAUAAGGCUAAGAAUUUGGUUAAAGACUUAGGUCUUGACUAUGAAAAGAUUGAUGCAUAUCCUAAUGACCGCAUGCUGUAUCGGAAUGAGCACAUAAAUGACUCAGUUUGCCAUAUCUGUAGAGUAUCUCGAUAUAAUCAGGCUCCUACUACGGACGGCAACGAAGAUGACUUUGCGCUUCUGAAUAAAGUUCAUAAGGUUGCUGCAAAAACCUUAAGAUACUUUCCCUUAAUACCAAGGCUUAAAAGGCUUUUUAUGUGCCCAAACACAGCAGAGGCAUUGAGGUGGCAUGAUGAGCAGCGUUUGAAAGACGGUUGCAUAAGGCACCCUGCUGAUGGCGAUGCAUGGAAGAAGUUGGACAGUCAGUACCCAAACUUUUCAAAAGAGCUUCGCAAUUUGAGGCUUGGUUUGGCAAGUGACGGUUUUAAUCCUUUUUGAACUAUGAAUGUGUCACAUAGCACAUGGCCAGUUGUCUUAAUGGUGUACAACUUUCCCCUUUGGAUGUCCAUGAAGUCAGAAUAUUGCAUGCUUUCUUUACUCAUACCUGGACCUUGUUCACCAGGAAAUAAUAUUGAUGUUUUUUUUGCAACCAUUGAUCGAAGAGCUAAGGGAGCUAUGGGUGUCAGGGAUAGAUACAUAUGAUUCUUUUAAAAAUGAAACUUUUCAAAUGCAUGCCGCACUUCUUUGGACAAUCAAUGAUUUUUCAGCAUAUGCGAUGCUAUCCGGUUGGAGUACCAAAGGGAAGUUGGCUUGCCCUUGUUGUAAAAAUGACACUUCUUUUUGUUAUUUGAAAUAUAGCCAAAAGACAGUUUACAUGGACCAUAGAAGAUUUUUGCCAGUUGAUCAUGCAUGGAGGUCUAACAGAAUUAAGGGAUCCACCACGAAUGUUAACAAGUGAAAAGGAUCUAGAUAUGCUAAAGUUAGUAGAUAAUGCUUUUGGGAAGACACAAAACAAAAGUAAAGGCCAAUGGAAAAAACGAUCAAUCUUUUUUGAGUUACCAUAUCGGCAUUAUUAUAUGAUCAGGCACAACCUUGAUGUGAUGCAUAUCGAAAAAAACAUAGUCGAUAGUAUAGUUGGUACCUUAUUGGAUAUUCCUGGAAAAACAAAGGAUCAUGCAAAGGCUCGUUAUGAUCUUAAGGAGAUGGGCAUUCGAAAGAAUCUUCACCCAAUAAAUACGAAGGAUGGCAAAAGAACUAAACUUGCUAGAGCAUGCUACUCCAUGACCAAAGGGAAAAAAUCCAUUUUUUGUGGUGUUUUGAAGAAAAUAAAAUUGCCUGAUGGAAGUGCUUCAAACAUUUCUCGUUGCGUACAACAAGAAGAGAGAAAGCUUUACGGUUGCAAGACUCACGAUGCUCACUUCAUGUUGCAUUACCUGUUGCAAAUACCAAUCAAGAGCAUUCUUCCAGAUCAUGUUGUUGUUCCUCUAGUUUGCUUGUGUUCAUUUUUUCGUCGAUUACGUCAAAAGGAAAUCUCUUUAGAAGAGAUUAAUGGUUUAGAGUCAGAAAUUGUAGAGACUUUGUGCCAGUUGGAGAGGAUUUUCCCCCUACCUUUUUUGAUAUAAUGGUUCAUUUGCCAAUUCAUUUAGCUAAUGAAGUCAGGUUAGGUGGUCCCGUCCAGUUUCGAUGGAUGUAUCCGAUUGAGAGAUAGAUGUGCACACUAAAAGGGUAUGUUCGUAAUAGAAGUCGUCCAGAAGGAUCAAUUGUAGAGGGUUAUUUGGCUGAAGAGUGUUUAACUUUUUGUUCAAGAUAUUUGCAUGAGGGAGUGAAAACAAGAUUCAAUAGAGUAUCUCGAAAUAAUGAUGAAGGUACUUCAACCAAAGAUCCUGAUUCAAAUUUGUUCACAAACAAGGGUAGUCCGUUGGGUAGAAAAAAAGGGCAGCUAAUCAUUUUGGACGAGAAGUCCCUCCGUCAAGCUAAUGCAUAUGUAUUGAACAAUUGCGUUAACGUGGAGCCUUACAUUAGGUAAAUUUGCACCUCUAAUUUGUUCUAUUCCUUAGACUAAUUUUGGUAGCAUUAUACAAUAAUAUGCAUUCCCUUGUAGAGAACAUGGUGAUCAACAAAAGCAAGACAAGCGGAAGCAAAAGUGGAACGUUAUUAAAGAUCAGAAUGAAGACUUUAUAGAAUGGUUCAUAGGACGUGCCAUGAAAGAUGAUGUUCCUAGUUGGAUAUGAUAGUUGUCUAAGGGUCCAAAUAAAGUUGCAAAAUUAUUUUCUGCUUAUGUUGUCAAUGGGUACAGAUUUCAUACUAAGCGGCGAGAAGUGAUGCGAAAAACGCAAAAUAGUGGUGUCACUGUGGUGGCUGAAACUACAAGCUUUGCUAGUGUUAAGGACAAAAAACCAAUCAAGGCCAAUAUAAAAUAUUAUGGUAGAAUCAUGGAUAUUGUUGAGCUAGACUAUUAUAGUCAAUUUAAAGUUGUGUUAUUUAAGUGUGAGUGGUUUAUAGCUGAGGAAGAUAAUUAUGGUUUCACAUAUGUUCAUUUUAACAAAAGAUGUUACCAAGACGAACCAUUUGUGUUGGCAAGCCAAGCACACCAGUGCUUUUAUGUGAAAGAUCCAUAUAUUCCCCAAAAGUAUUAUGUGAUGAAAACUGUUCCAAGAGACUUGUUUAACAAUGGUGUCCAAUUACAGUUUGACCCUAACAUAAUAGAGCCACAUGAAUCUGCGAAUAGUCUGAUACCCUUAAGUGAUAUUGGUGAGGUAGACUUGGUUAGACCGGGUGUGCAACCUACUAUUGUUGAUGUGACACCAACAAGAUCAAAUCUAAAGACAAAGAAAUAGAGUCUGAUGAGUUUGACAGUGAUGCUGAAAUCCAGUGACUAUAAGGUGUUGGAUUAACUCGAUGCUUUAUUUGACCUCUCUUGUUGUUGCAAUUGAAAUAUGUUGAUAUCUUAUUUUUCUUUCCUUUUGCAUUGAUGUAUGUUGACUCUUUAUUUUGACCUCCUUUGUUGUAAUUGGAUUAUGUUGAAAAACUCUCUGAGAUCUUUUUUUGCAAUUGGAUUAACUCGAUGCUUUAUUUGACCUCUCUUGUUGCAAUUGAAAUAUGUUGAUAUUUUAUUUUCCUUUCCUUUUGCAUUGAUGUAUGUUGACUCUUUAUUUUGACCUCCUUGUUGUAAUUGGAUUAUGUUGAAACUCUCUUUGAGAUCUUUUUUUUCAAUUGAAUUAACUCGAUGUUUUAUUUGACCUCUCUUGUUGCAAUUGAAAUAUGUUAAUAUUUUAUUUUCCUUUCCUUUUGCAUUGAUGUAUGUUGACUCUUUAUUUUGACCUCCCUUGUUGUAAUUGGAUUAUGUUGAAACUAUCUUUGAGAGCUUUUUUUGCAAUUGAAUUAAGUCGAUGCUUUAUUUGAC